rnacentral:rRNA from 1 species
AACGUAGGUGGCGAGCGUUAUCCGGAUUUACUGGGCGUAAAGCGCUUGUAGGUGGUUUUGUAAGUUGGGCGUGAAAUCUCCGGGCUUAACUUGGAGAGGCCGUCCAAUACUGCGAGGCUAGAGGUUAUUCGAGGAAAGUGGAAUUCCUGGUGUAGUAGUGAAAUGCGUGAGAUAUCAGGAGGAACACCGGUGGCGAAGGCGGGUCUCUGGGCCGAGU